rnacentral:rRNA from 1 species
UGCGUAGGUGGCGCCGUAAGUGGGUGUGAAAUCCCGGGGCUUAACCCCGGGACUGCAUUCCAUACUGCGGUGCUUGAGGACUGGAGAGGAGACUGGAAUUUACGGUGUAGCAGUGAAAUGCGUAGAGAUCGUAAGGAAGACCAGUGGCGAAGGCGGGUCUCUGGACAGUUCCUGACACUGAGGCACGAAGGCCAGGGGAGCAAACG